rnacentral:rRNA from 1 species
UGAGGAAUAUUGGGCAAUGCCCGCAAGGGUGACCCAGCAACGCCGCGUGGAGGAUGAAGGCCGUAAGGUUGUAAACUCCUGUUAGAGGAGAAGAACAGUACCGAUUGGAUCGGUAUUUGACUGUACCCUCAGAGAAAGCCCCGGCUAACUACGUGCCAGCAGCCGCGGUAAUACGUAGGGGGCAAGCGUUGUCCGGAUUUACUGGGUGUAAAGGGCGCGCAGGCGGAAUAUCAAGUCAGAGGUGAAAUCCUACAGCUUAACUGUAGAACUGCCUUUGAUACUGUUAUUCUUGAGUUCGGGAGAGAGAGACGGAAUUCCAGGUGUAGUGGUGAAAUACGUAGAUAUCUGGAAGAACACCAGUUGCGAAGGCGGUCUCUUGGUCCGAUACUGACGCUGAGGCGCGAAAGCGUGGGGAGCAAACAGG